rnacentral:rRNA from 1 species
UCGAACGAAAUCCAUGGGUGUAGCAAUACACCGGAAGAUUUACUUGCGAACGGGUGAGGAUCACGUGAGAAACGUGCCCCAGACUCUGGGAUAACAAUUGGAAACGAUUGCUAAUACCGGAUGACGUCGGAGAAUCGCAUGAUUCACUGACGAAAGAUAUUUCGGUUUGGGAGCGUCUCGCGGCCUAUCAGCUUGUUGGUGGGGUAAUGGCCUACCAAGGCAACGACGGGUAGCUGGUCUGAGAGGAUGAUCAGCCACACUGGGACUGAGACACGGCCCAGACUCCUACGGGAGGCAGCAGUGGGGAAUCUUGCGCAAUGGGCGAAAGCCUGACGCAGCAACGCCGCGUGCGGGAUGAAGGCCUUCGGGCUGUAAACCGCUUUCAGCAGGAACGAAAAUGACGGUACCUGCAGAAGAAGGAGCGGCCAACUACGUGCCAGCAGCCGCGGUGACACGUAGGCUCCAAGCGUUGUCCGGAUUUAUUGGGCGUAAAGAGCUCGUAGGCGGUUGAGUAAGUCGGGUGUGAAAACUCUGGGCUUAACCCGGAGACGCCAUCCGAUACUGCUCUGACUAGAGUUCAGGAGGGGAGUGGGGAAUUCCUAGUGUAGCGGUGAAAUGCGCAGAUAUUAGGAGGAACACCGGUGGCGAAGGCGCCACUCUGGACUGAAACUGACGCUGAGGAGCGAAAGCAUGGGUAGCAAACAGGAUUAGAUACCCUGGUAGUCCAUGCCGUAAACGGUGGGCACUAGGUGUGGGUUCCAACUAACGGGAUCCGCGCCGUCGCUAACGCAUUAAGUGCCCCGCCUGGGGAGUACGGUCGCAAGACUAAAACUCAAAGGAAUUGAUGGGGGCCCGCACAAGCAGCGGAGCGUGUUGCUUAAUUCGAUGCUACGCGAAGAACCUUACCUGGGUUUGACAUGUUUGGAAAAG